rnacentral:rRNA from 1 species
AAUCAACGCUGGCGGCGUGCCUAACACAUGCAAGUCGAGCGAGAAAAGGGGGGCAACUCCCUGAGUACAGCGGCGCACGGGUGAGUAACACGUGGGUAAUCUGCCCUGAAGUGGGGAAUAACACCGGGAAACCGGUGCUAAUACCGCAUAUGAUCACGAUGUCUGCGGACGUAGUGAUGAAAGGAGCAAUUCGCUUCAGGAGGAGCCCGCGGCUGAUUAGCUAGUUGGUGAGGUAAUGGCUCACCAAGGCAACGAUCAGUAUCCGGUCUGAGAGGACGGUCGGACACACUGGAACUGAGACACGGUCCAGACUCCUACGGGAGGCAGCAGUGGGGAAUUUUUCGCAAUGGGGGCAACCCUGACGAAGCAACGCCGCGUGGAUGAUGAAGUAUCUCGGUACGUAAAAUCCUUUCGACAGGGACGAAACCGCAAGGUUGACGGUACCUGUAGAAGAAGCCCCGGCUAACUCCGUGCCAGCAGCCGCGGUAAUACGGGGGGGGCAAGCGUUGUUCG